rnacentral:lncRNA from 1 species
GGGCCGUGCUACCUUGGCCUCUGGGCUCUGGGGAUGGGAGGAGGGGAGGGUGAAAAGCAAUACCGGACGUCCCCGGACCCAUUCGGAUCGGAACGGUGCUUUAUAUCUCGUGGGCGAAUCAGGCAUCUUCAGCUGCACGCAUCCCGAUCAGAUAGACAGAGAUCAGUGAUCAAGCAGUGAGGCAUCGUUUUCGUACCAUAAAACUUUUUUUUCUUUUUGCGAGGCGGACCAUUAGACUUUUGUUUACAAGUAUGGGGAGACAAAAGCAAAUCAACCUUUCACUUGAUUUUCUCUCCUUUUCUUUUCUAGGCGCUGUCCACGGGAGUCGACAUGCGGCGAGAGGCCACGAGCACACGCAGAAGGAGAUGCCACGUACCGAGCUGACAUACAGCCCCAGACGACGCACUCCGUGUGACUGUCCUUGAUGUUUCAUACCUACUCCACUACUACUACUUGGGACUGCAUGUGCGGGCACAGACAGAGUUGCGCACAGACACGGGCGACAUGAAACGGAAAGAUCAAACAACAAGAAUACCAGCAGUUCUUUCGUGUAAUGUGGGAGGUUUGCUCUUCUCUAAACCAAAAUGUUGUCGUUGGCGGAAGCGGAACAGGACAGAGCUAAACAACCGUCCUCAUUUCUUGCGGUCCAGUGUAUUAUAUACUAAAAGCAAUACGAAGGGUACCGAGAGAAGUCUUCACGUUGAUCCACAUCACCUUAAUUAUUUCUAACCGUUAGAUAUGAGAUCUACGAGUCUACAAAUCGUUACGUAUCUGGAGCAUGAAGUAACCGGAUUUAACGCACGUAUAUCUUUUAAUUAUACGGACUCAAUCUACGAUGGCACAUACCCCGUACCCGUUUAAAUACACCAUCGAUACACAUAACACGUCCAUGCGCUGGACAAGCUUGACUAGAAGCCAUCCAGCCCGGCGAGUCGCAUGCAUGCUUAGUUGGUUCAUAAAUUAAUUAAUUUUCGCUAUAAAAAAUCAAUCAAUUAAAUCACUUUUCAGCCUACGCAACUGCAGGCAUGUAUUAUGAUAUAAGAAAAAAAAGGGCCAUGUAUCGGGAGCAAUUAACUGUUUCGAGCCGAGGAUUCGUCGGACUACGACGAGUCCUCAAAUAAUUGCUACGCCGUGAAGCUCAAAUAGGAAGUUUGCAUCUGAAAUUCCCAAUAUACCCAAUUUGCAAGAACAAAUCCUCAAAUCUGUGAGAUCCUCAAUUUGGAACUUAACAAAUCGAUGAAAUUUUUACCUCCUCGAGCGGGACGGGACACGGCAGCUCUGGGAUCCGAAGAAGGAGGCCUUCGAUGCAUGCCUCACCGGCAGUUUCGUGCCCGUGGAGACCUAAAUGAAGGCGGCCGCAAACUCUUGUUGGGCAGCCGGAAACAGAGGUGCUCGCUCCAGGAAACUCGCGCCAGAACUGGAGGGGGGAGACCCGAACAACCUACGAAACAGACGGGUGGCGGGCCACAACAGAAUACCUCUCCGGCGUCCUGGUAGUGACGAAAUCUUCAGGCGGGAGACGGCAGGGAAAAAGGAAAGAAGAAGGCGCGAGCGGAAAUCUCCUCGACUCAACCGUUUUUUACAGGCGCGAGGGGUGGUAUUCGGUAGAACGGAAUAGAUUUUUGCAGAUUUCCAAAAUAUGGCGUACAUUUCCAGGUCGUUUUUUUCGCCAAAAACCGUAGAACGGCGGUCAUUUUUCGGAUCUGGCCGAUAUGCGGGAUCUGCUGGAGAUGCUCUGACUAACUGCACCAGCGGAUUGGGACUACAAGUUAUUUCGUGAAUUAGCAGGGCUCACUUCAACAACCGUAACACGGAAAAUUCUGAUGUGUAAACAAGCUCCGUAUUUGAAGUGUUCAAGGUUUCGGAAACACCUCUUCAUCUAUUCUUAUGUUUUAUAUUUUAUAUACUAAAACAAUAUGAGGGGUACCGAGUGAAUACUUCACACUGAUCUACGUCACAACCUUCGCAUUUGAAGUGGUUAGCCUUUCAUACAUUAUACUAAAAUCUAUCUAUUAUUAUAUACUAAACGCAAUAUGAAGGGUACCAAGGGAGGCUUCACACCAAUCCACGCCACAAGCUUCGUAUUUGAUGUGGUCAAGGUUUCAUUCAUUCGUUAUUUCUUUGUAUGGUGUCAAACGUUACAUACUGCAUUAGAUGAUAAACACCACAAAACAACUUUUUUUUAUUGUUUUUUUCAUAGAUCAACGGACAUUUAAAGAACUCUAAGUAUAAUUCUACAUGCCAACACAUGAUUCUAAAUUUAUUUAGGGCUACUAAUUAACAUCGUAUACCGGCUAAAUAACAAACAGAAAACACUUAAUCAAAUAUCGCUAAGUCAAAAAAGCAAAUAGCCAACCCACGUUCUAAACUUUAAUGCAGGUAUUGAUAGCAUAAACACGUAAAACUUUAAUCUCAGAUGAUGACUUUAAAAAUAAUUAUACCUACUAAUAUAGCUUGACGUACACACGAAUACACGAUCUAUCGGUAUAAAAGGGUGAUUGGCCAAUUCAGCUUGUGAACUAUAUUUUUUUUUACAUAUGUUAUUUAUAUACCACACAUGAUCGGUUCCCUUCGGUAGCUAAUAUCCACCGUAGUUUUCCCUGCUAUCACGUGCUCUGGAUAGCACAUCGACAAGGUGUCACUACUCUGGUAUGCGUUUUACCUUGGAGGGAUCAUCUACUUUGAUGCUAGAUUGGUGGAUCGUUCUGGAGAAAUUCUAGCGGCUAGGAGGUAUAAGCUAGCUACGGGGAUUUGCAACAUGCUUCACCAACGUCUACUCCCAAUACACCAUUGGCGAGUUAGAGAGUGAUCUUGGGUUGUUCGUACGGUAGCAAAAUUAUAAAUUACUGGCCUUAAUUCGAGAUGCAUGGCUAAUAUCACCUCAAAUAAUUAAUUUACAUUUUUGCAAGAAUAAGACAGUAACAAGUAUUUGAGCAAUUAUAACUAUGCAUCUCAACAUGUGGCCCUAUUAGGUAAAGACAGGAUGUUCGUAGGUGAUCUGAACUUUUCUCUUCUUCACAAAGGGGUAAUACUUGGGCCAUCUGAACUUUAACUAUAAGUACUUGGUUAAUAUCACCAACAAACUAUCAAUUAGUCAGACGCUAAAUUUGAAUGAUCUAACCUUUAGUACUGGAUUUUGGUAUAAUAUAGCAUACAAAUAAAAGAAAUCCUAAGGUCGAAAACAUGAUUGACUCCUUGUAUACACUUUUAUACUUUAAAGAGUUGUUAUAUUGAUUAAUUCUACUUUUCCAUACGUAUACACUAGGGUUGAUUAAUUCUGCUUUGAACAGUAAAUAGUACAUCAAUACAUAUCUACGUUAAUUAGAAAAUAAAAUUGAUUAAAAUUGUUUGCGCGGGACAUCAUCAUGCUAGUUCUGGUGUAAAGAUAGUAACCGUCCAGUUGUGCAUAAGGACAUCCUGGAGUCCUGGACGACGAUAAAUCUGCCGAUUCACUUCCACGUCAGUGUCCUUUCUCCGUGAAGGAUUACUUUUCAAAGGGUAGAUGAACCGCUGAACUAGUAAUGCAGAUGGGUCCAUCAACCAAACCGCAAAUGUUUCCGUUCAGGAAAAGAAAACAGCAAAUGCAAACCCAUGGACACCAAGGUGGAACGAAACAGGCUCACACCUAGCGUCCAGAACGCUCCCGUGUGUCCCCCACAUGUCAUUUAGACGUAACAUUCCGCACCACAAUUUUCACGACUCACCUUGGAUCCCUUGGCACUACUCCAGGCAGCAGACGGGCACACCCUUCUAUAAAUGGGACCCAAUGCUCGCAGUUUCUCAUCGCCCCGUCCAAAACCUUCCUUCUUCCUGACUUCACACAAUCCAACCCUCCCCCAAAACCCCGAGAAGAUCGAAGAUGUUCGGCUUCGGUCACCACGGCCACCAUGGCCAGAACCCACCGGCCCACGCCCCAACUACCGCCGGCGGCCACCAGCCCACCUUCAAGAUCUUCUGCAAGGCCGACGAGGGUUACUGCCUCUCCGUCCGCGACGGCAACGUCGUCCUCGCCCCCACCAACCCCCGCGACGAGCACCAGCACUGGUUCAAGGACAUGCGCUUCAGCACCAACAUCAAGGACGAGGAGAACAACCCCGCCUUCGCGCUCGUCAACAAGGCCACUGGUCUCGCCGUGAAGCACUCCCUGGGCCAGAGCCACCCGGUUCGGCGUCUUCUCCCCUCUUCCUCAUCCGAACGUAGAUCUGUUCUUCAGUGCUUUGAAAUGGAAGUAGAGUGAUGAUUUUUUUUGGGCGUGCAGGUGAAGCUGGUGCCGUUCAACCCGGAUUUCCAAGAUGAGUCCGUGCUGUGGACGGAGAGCGGCGACGUCGGCAAGGGCUUCCGCUGCAUCCGCAUGGUGAACAACAUCCGCCUCAACUUCGACGCCCUCAACGGCGACAAGGACCACGGCGGUGUGCACGACGGCACCACCGUUGUCCUCUGGGAGUGGGCCAAGGGCGACAACCAGAGCUGGAAGAUCCUCCCCUGGGGCGACGAGGCCUACGCCGGCGGCAGCGCCAACGCGCCCCGCGGCGGCCCCUCUGAGCCCACCGUCCGCAUCUUCUGCAAGGCUGACGAGGGCUUCAGCGCCACCGUCCGCAACGGCACCGUCUGCCUCGCGCCCACCAACCCCCGCGACGACCACCAGCACUGGAUCAAGGACAUGAGGCACAGCAACCGCAUCAAGGACGAGGAAGGCUACCCCGCCUUCGCCCUCGUCAACAAGGUCACUGGCGAGGCCAUCAAGCACUCCCAGGGGGAGGGUCACCCUGUAAGCAACAAUCCAGCUUGGCCACCCAAAUCGUAUUCUGUUUCAUCAGUUUUACACACAAAAAAAUGGUAGCAUUCGGGUAUUGAUCUGAGAGAUUAAUAAGACAUUUUCUGCUUGUUUGUUCCAUCAGGUGAAGCUGGUGCCGUACAACCCGAACUACCAGGACGAGUCGGUGCUGUGGACCGAGAGCCGCGACGUGGGUGCCGGCUUCCGGUGCAUCCGCAUGGUGAACAACAUCUACCUCAACUUCGACGCCCUCCACGGCGACAAGGACCACGGCGGCGUGCGCGACGGCACCUCCCUCGUGCUCUGGAAGUGGUGCGAGGGCGACAACCAGCGCUGGAAGAUCCUCCCCUGGUGUAAGUGUCGGCGCCCCUAGCUCACUCUCUACUACCAUGUUGCUAGCUAGUGGAAAACUCUGCUCAGCUUUACCCAACGACAUCAUCAUAAUAAAUCAUAGUAAUAAAUUAGUGGACGGCAGAAGUUUGUUGGGUUAUCUGACAUCUUUUGAAUUAUUGCGUCGUCCUCGCGGAAAAAGGAGAAAAGGUAUUAAUGUGUUUUAUUUGUUGCUUGUGUUUGCAGA